rnacentral:rRNA from 1 species
CCUACGGGCGGCAGCAGUGGGGAAUAUUGCGCAAUGGGGGGAACCCUGACGCAGCCAUGCCGCGUGAAUGAAGAAGGCCUUCGGGUUGUAAAGUUCUUUCGGUAUUGAGGAAGGUUGAUGUGUUAAUAGCACAUCAAAUUGACGUUAAAUACAGAAGAAGCACCGGCUAACUCCGUGCCAGCAGCCGCGGUAAUACGGAGGGUGCGAGCGUUAAUCGGAAUAACUGGGCGUAAAGGGCACGCAGGCGGUUAUUUAAGUGAGGUGUGAAAGCCCUGGGCUUAACCUAGGAAUUGCAUUUCAGACUGGGUAACUAGAGUACUUUAGGGAGGGGUAGAAUUCCACGUGUAGCGGUGAAAUGCGUAGAGAUGUGGAGGAAUACCGAAGGCGAAGGCAGCCCCUUGGGAAUGUACUGACGCUCAUGUGCGAAAGCGUGGGGAGCAAACAGGAUUAGAUACCCGAGUAGUC